GGGGCCUUUGGAACUGAGUAUCUGCAACCCAUCGGUGACAUCAUAGUAGGGAAAAGGGCCUUCAGUCCCCUUGACUUCCAUGGAUUCAAAGAUUCCACACUGCAAGAGGUGGAAAAGAAAAUUCCCCCUUCUCUCCAAUUACAUUUUUCCUCUCAUCUCCUCCUACAUUUCAGUUUCUAGCCCAGACUGUAUAAAAGGAGAAAAUGAAGAGACACCCUGUUGUAGAAUCCAUCUCUAAGUCCUUACUCCUGGAGGAAGACAACUUCCUUCAGAAAGAGGCAGAGAAAGCCAGGCACCCCAAGGGAUCAAGAUGGGAGGCAAAGGGAAGCCUAAGGGCUCUGCCCCCUCACCUACUGGGGAAUAAGUUCUGCUUCUCUGUGCUCCCUGUCCCUGAGCCCUGCCUCUGUGGGUGUAGUCUAAGGACCAAAGCAGUGCUGCACCCCCGGCCCCCUCCAGUUUCCCGCCCAGGCUCUCAGGUGCUCCCUAGCUUGUCAGCAGGGAAGAAACAGCUGUCUCCUCCAGUGAUUAUCUUGAGGGCUCAACUCUCCCAGAGUUCCCCAAAGCCCAAGGACAAGGCCAAGGCCAAGUCGCAGCUCCUAUCUUGGGAUGGGUCAAGAACUUCCUGCAAUGCCAUACCACUACGCAAGCUGGUACCCAUGGGCGUGUGGCCCCAGGGACUUCUUGACCCACUCCCCCAGUCCUUGCCAGAUAAAUUACUGCAUACUAUAUCCCAUUGGGAGGGAGCCAUCUCCCCAGCCAAGGAGCCAUCUCUCCAAUGAUACUACUUGUGGGGUGUGACAAACCCCAGUCCUCUAAAUCAUUCUUGUUUAAAUAAAAACGUAUUUAGUAAAUUGUGGUCUUUCUUUCAUAUCUACUGAAACCACAGUAACUGUCUGAACUGAGAAUAUAUUUUAUCUUCUCAUUCUACUCCCACUUGGGUUUUCCAGGGUCCUGAUCUUAUA